AUAGGGAUAAACUAAUAAAAGUUGUUGGGUUCAUACCCCGAAGAUGAGGAUGUUUCUCUCCCUUUA
rnacentral:tRNA from 1 species